CUUGGGGAUGGGGGGUGCUGGAAAGCGGCUGUUUGGCUUUCCCAAGCAGGUUUUGGGGCUGUUUGGGGUGUUUUGGGACAAAACGCUCGCGAUGGGGCAACGGGAGGGAGAAGGAUGGAAGUUUUGUUCCUAAAUCACCAAAGUGAGCAAAAUGGGGCCAAAAACUGGUGGGGACAUCGUGGAGGGGACACUUGUCCUGGGUGGUGGCAUCAGCUCGGGGACAUUCAGCACGGGUGGUGGCAUCGCGCUGGGGACAAUCCUCUGGGAUGGGGAGAAGAGAUGGGACAUGGGGAUGGGACACGGGGACAUGGGGACAGGAUGGGACAUGGGGAUGGGACAUGGGGGGAUGCAGGACACGGGGAUGGGACGCGGGGACAUGGGACACGGGGACAGGGGUGGGAUAUGGGGAUGGGACACGGGGACACCAGGAUGGGGACAACCCGCUGUGCUGGUGGCAUCAGGACGGGGACAUCGCCCUGGGUAGCAGCACGAGGACGGGGACAGCCCCAAACCGAGAGCAUCCCAAACAAGGGAGCUCCUGUGGUGACGGUGACAAUGAUGAUGAUGAUGAUGAUGGUGAUGAUGAUGAUGAUGGCGAUGAAGGUGACGAUGGUGACGGUGACAGCGGCGGUGGCAGCCGGGGCGGGCAGAGUUAAGGCCGCUUUCAUUCCUUCCACUCGAAUUCCUGAGCUGACUUGGAUGCUUCCCGGCCUGAUUGCCUUUCCAGAGCCCUCCGCUCCCGCAGAAAUGGGGAAAAAGCAGCAAAUCGCCCCAAGAUGGGCGAGCACGGGCUUGAUAGGAAUGGUGACGGGGGGGGGGGGAGGACGUGCAGGGCUGCGGGUGGGAAAAAAGGAAAAAGAAAAAGGUUCCGUGAGGUGGGAGCAUCGCAAGGAGGGGGCGCCCCCCAUGCAGCGGGGCUGUGCGCCCCCGUCCCGCUUUUGGGUUAAAAUCCACUGGAAAGUGGUGCCGGGGCCAGGGCCUGGCCCCGCUCCCGGGUGCUGCCGCCGCCAAGGGCCGGGCUCCUCCACCUGCUCCUUGGAGGGGCCGUGGGGGGGGG
rnacentral:lncRNA from 1 species